CGGACGAACGCUGGCGGCGUGCCUAAUACAUGCAAGUCGAACGGUCUUUCUAUGGAAGCUUGCUUCCACUGAGAAGAUAGUGGCGAACGGGUGAGUAACACGUGGGUAACCUGCCCAUAAGGAGGGGGGUAACGAUCCGGAAACGGGUGCUAAUACCGCAUAGUUUUCUUGAUUGCAUAGAUUGAGAAAGGAAAGACGGUCCUUUGUGCUGUCGCUUUAUGGAGUCGGACCCGCGGCGUAUUAGUUAGUUGGUGAGGUAACGGCUCACCAAGACGAUGAUACGUAGCCGACCUGAGAGGGUGAUCGGCCACAUUGGGACUGAGACACGGCCCAAACUCCUACGGGAGGCAGCAGUAGGGAAUCUUCCGCAAUGGACGAAAGUCUGACGGAGCAACGCCGCGUGAGUGAAAGAAGGUUUUCGGAUCGUAAAACUCUGUUGUCAGAGAAGAACAAGUCGGAGAGUAACUGCUCCAGCCUUGACGGUAUCUGACCAGAAAGCCACGGCUAACUACGUGCCAGCCGCCGC
rnacentral:rRNA from 1 species